UUCCCCUUUCCUUCCAUUCCCCACUCCGUUUUCCUUCCUUUCUUUUCUCUUCUCUCCCCUCUCCCCCUUCCUCUCCCCCUUCCCUUCCCUUUCUCUCCCUUCCCUUCUUCUCCUCUCCUCUUUCCUUCCUACCUACAUUUUCUCUUAUCUCCCUUCCUCAUUUCUUUCCCCCACCCCUCCCUUCCACGCUUUUCUUGUCAAGGUUCUAUAAGCAGGACUAGCUGACAUGCUGCCAGAGAGGCACCAAGGUGAAUUAACACAGAUUCCCUUAAGGGAAAAUGUAAAACUGCUAAUAACUUGUUUGCAGAGCUAGGCGGGGUGGAAAGUGUAAGCUGAAAGCCUUCUGCGAGCUCCAGCUUGCUUUCAGGGGAGAAGAUGUCCUCUGUGUUCCAAGAUGUGAUUUCUCCUGCACCUGCCAGCAGGCCGUGGGCGGAGCUCACUGGUUCUCAUCCUUCAGUUUCAGCGCCUCUGGAGAAGCCACAAGGCUGAGUCUCCUGUCUUUCCUGGGGUCUGAGACUGUUAGCUGUUGAGUGUUCUCUCUUGCAUCAAGAUCUCACAAAGCAAGAGAUGUCAAAGGCAGAACCUGAAUCUGAGAAGCCAAGGAAAAGAGGAAGCCUCUUGGAAAAGAGGCUAAGCUAAGAAGGUAGAAAGGAGAAGAAAAGGGCAGCAGGCUAAACCGCUGGUGAGAGAGAACCUUCGUGGCUUGUCUGGUCUGAACUGUACCAAGAGCUGCACCGGAAGUGCUGUUAACCAGGAAGAUGGUGAGAUCGUCUCUGGAGACAGGGUGCAGGUCAAGAGGUACUUCCUCAGCAAGAGUAUGAGUCCAGACACAGGUCACGUAAAAAUGGGAUGCUUCCUGGCCCUCCCGCUCAGUGGGUGGAGCUGUCACAUGACCAGGCUUCCUUGGAUUCCUCUGCGAGCAGGGCAGAACCGUAGGAGAGAACAGCCGCAGAGGGAUGGGAGCUUGUUGCCUGGCUCCAGGCUCCUCUGCCAGCGCUCCCUGUCCACAGUUUGUAGCCGAAUGACUGAAGACCCAGCCUGGUUGUCAGAUCUGGCGUCUUGUCUCACUGCUGUACCUAACUGGUUAAGAUAACUCUCUAAACGUCUGUAAGUUCAGUUUUACUGUGAAUAAAAACGAGCAUCCUAACA
rnacentral:lncRNA from 1 species